CCUACGGGAGGCUGCCGUGGGGAAUAUUGGACAAUGGGCGAAAGCCUGAUCCAGCCAUGCCGCGUGUGUGAAGAAGGCCUUCGGGUUGUAAAGCACUUUCAGUGGGGAAGAAAGCCUUGGGGCUAAUACCCUCGAGGAAGGACAUCACCCACAGAAGAAGCACCGGCUAACUCCGUGCCAGCAGCCGCGGUAAUACGGAGGGUGCGAGCGUUAAUCGGAAUUACUGGGCGUAAAGCGCGCGUAGGCGGUCUGAUAAGCCGGUUGUGAAAGCCCCGGGCUCAACCUGGGAACGGCAUCCGGAACUGUCAGGCUAGAGUGCAGGAGAGGAAGGUAGAAUUCCCGGUGUAGCGGUGAAAUGCGUAGAGAUCGGGAGGAAUACCAGUGGCGAAGGCGGCCUUCUGGACUGACACUGACGCUGAGGUGCGAAAGCGUGGGUAGCAAACAGGAUUAGAUACCCUAGUAGUC
rnacentral:rRNA from 1 species